rnacentral:rRNA from 1 species
UUUUAUGAGAGUUUGAUCCUGGCUCAGGACGAACGCUGGCGGCGUGCCUAAUACAUGCAAGUCGAACGCUUCUUUUUCCA